CCUUUCUGACUGUGUCCUCAGGUCUGCAGGCUGUCCGCUUGUCUCUGGCAGCUGAAGCUGCACCCGCUAAAAGUGUUCAGUAAACACAGAGACAGCGCUGUCUGCCCAAACAUCGCGUUAGUUGAGCGAUAUUUCGUGACUUCAGUUAAAUCGUGAUAUCUGUUAGCUAAAGUGACGUUAGCUCUGACGGCGGGCCUCGUGCAGCCACGUGGAGAAAAACGGAGAGAUGAAAGACAAGGUGGACCUCAGUGUGGCGGCUCUUUGCAUGAGCCCAACAGAUGUCCAGUCGGGUAUAACAGGUCUCCUCAUGUCCCUGCAGGACGGGUCAGAAGAAUGGGUCUAUGCAAGGUGAUAGAGGCACGUUCAGCCACGACUGAGGUGUGAGCUGCCAUAAGAGCUGUUAAAUCGUCGUGCAGCACUGCCGAUGCGCCCUGUUAAACCAGCUUGACGGAGGUUCAUUUCCUGCAGGUUGGGUGCAUCAUCUUAACGGGGCGCAGCUGCAACUUCAUCUUCGAGACGGAGCUUGUGUCAAGCCAGUCUGAUGUGUCCCCUGCAGUCUGCAUUGGAGUAAAUUCACAGAGUUGGAUCAAGCGGUUGAGGAAACUGCCUCAGUGUGCUGGCAAAGCUACAUGUGAUGACAGGAGGACUCUUGGACAUGGUCUGAAGACGGACGUCAGCAUUUUACAUUGUGAAAUGCAGUAUGAGUAACUGUUAGAUGUGAUUGUUAUAAAGAGUCAAAACAACCCAACGACUGAAACAACGGUGUGACGUCUUGACAGCUGGAGCAACUUCUGCCAUUUUGUUUUUUUUGCAUAAAAAUGGGAUUUAAAAAAAAAAGUUAUUAGUGGUGGACUUGUUGGACUGUGCAAACAACCUCGUUUUUGUAUUUUUUAACCACCUUUUUGAAAAGGUCAUCUGUGAUAUUUGGGCAUAUAUAAAAAAUUGUUUAUCAAAGUCUUUUCAUGUGUAAAAGCAGGUGUGCUUAUCUGAAAAAGGUUUAACAAAUGACAAAAAAUAAAGAAUAUGGUACGUUCAAAUUUAGAAUCA